rnacentral:tRNA from 1 species
GUCCCAUAUUGUCUAGUGGUUAGGAUACCCGGCUCUCACCCGGGAGGCCCGGGUUCGAUUCCCGGUAUGGGA